rnacentral:rRNA from 1 species
GUGGGGAAUAUUGGACAAUGGGGGGAACCCUGAUCCAGCCAUGCCGCGUGUGUGAAGAAGGCCUUUUGGUUGUAAAGCACUUUAAGCGAGGAGGAGGCUACCGAGAUUAAUACUCUUGGAUAGUGGACGUUACUCGCAGAAUAAGCACCGGCUAACUCUGUGCCAGCAGCCGCGGUAAUACAGAGGGUGCAAGCGUUAAUCGGAUUUACUGGGCGUAAAGCGCGCGUAGGUGGCCAAUUAAGUCAAAUGUGAAAUCCCCGAGCUUAACUUGGGAGUUGCAUUCGAUACUGGUUGGCUAGAGUAUGGGAGAGGAUGGUAGAAUUCCAGGUGUAGCGGUGAAAUGCGUAGAGAUCUGGAGGAAUACCGAUGGCGAAGGCAGCCAUCUGGCCUAAUACUGACACUGAGGUGCGAAAGCAUGGGGAGCAAACAGGAUUAGAAACCCCUGUAGUCC